UUAAGAUUAAAUCCUAUGAUAAGUGCUCUGCAAUUGCCCCUUCUCUCUGAAGUUACAAUGGACGCUCUGAAUUCUUACGCAUCGUCGGCGGCGAUGGCGCAGCAAACCUGGGAGUUAGAGAACAACAUCGUAACAAUCGACGCGCCGUCGGGGUCGAAACCGGAAAACUCCGCGUCGGACGCUAUAUUCCACUACGACGAUGCGGCACAGACGAAGUUUCAGCGGGAGAAGCCGUGGGCGAGUGACCCUCACUACUUCAAGCGUGUGAAGAUCUCUGCUCUUGCUCUUCUCAAGAUGGUUGUUCACGCGCGUUCCGGAGGUACAAUUGAGGUCAUGGGACUCAUGCAGGGUAAGACUGACGGCGAUGCCAUCAUUGUAAUGGACGCUUUUGCCCUCCCCGUUGAAGGCACUGAAACUAGGGUUAAUGCUCAAGCUGAUGCGUAUGAAUAUAUGGUCGAAUAUUCACAGACCAACAAGCAGACUUUUUGGUAUAGGCUGGUCGUUUGGAAAAUGUGGUUGGGUGGUACCAUUCCCAUCCUGGUUAUGGAUGCUGGCUCUCUGGCAUUGAUGUAUCUACGCAAAUGCUCAACCAGCAAUAUCAGGAACCCUUUCUUGCAGUUGUUAUUGAUCCAACAAGAACUGUUUCUGCUGGAAAAGUUGAGAUUGGUGCAUUUCGAACAUAUCCUGAAGGAUAUAAACCUCCAGAUGACCCCAUCUCGGAGUACCAGACCAUUCCUUUGAACAAAAUCGAAGACUUUGGAGUACAUUGCAAGCAGUAUUAUUCAUUGGAUAUUACAUAUUUUAAGUCUUCUCUCGAUUGCCAUCUCUUGGACCUACUAUGGAACAAGUAUUGGGUGAACACACUUUCAUCAUCUCCUUUGCUUGGAAAUGGAGACUAUGUUGCUGGACAGAUAUCUGAUCUUGCUGAAAAGUUGGAGCAUGCUGAAAAUCAGCUGUCCAAUUCACGUUAUGCAUCCUUAAUGGCACCCCCUCAAAGGAAGAAGGAGGAAGAAUCUCAGCUUGCUAAGAUUACACGUGAUAGUGCUAAGAUUACUGUCGAACAAGUUCAUGGCUUAAUGUCGCAGGUUAUUAAAGACAUUCUUUUCAAUAGUGUUGGUAAGUCAAGCAAGUCACAGACGGAAUCCUCAGGUCCCGAGCCCAUGAUCGAAAGCUGAGAAGUUCAUAUUACUAUCAAAUUGGAUGUAGACCAACUUGGUGCAAUUUCUAGGUUUCCUUUUGCAGUUGACUAUAUACAUCUUUGACUCUAUUUAUGUAGCUUACAAUGAAGUGAUAGUUUACGGUGAUUGGCUCUCUUAGAUAUCAUGACUUUUGCUGUUCAAUGGGUUAUGGAAGAUUUUGUCAAGUCUUUCACAAGUUCUUUUCCUUUUGUUAAUUAUAAGUUCAGUUAAUCGACAUGUUUGGUUUGGUGCUUCCAAGGAAAA